rnacentral:rRNA from 1 species
CCUACGGGAGGCAGCAGUAGGGAAUCUUCCACAAUGGGCGAAAGCCUGAUGGAGCAACGCCGCGUGGGUGAAGAAGGUCUUCGGAUCGUAAAACCCUGUUGUUAGAGAAGAAAGUGCGUGAGAGUAACUGUUCACGUUUCGACGGUAUCUAACCAGAAAGCCACGGCUAACUACGUGCCAGCAGCCGCGGGAAUACGUAGGUGGCAAGCGUUAUCCGGAUUUAUUGGGCGUAAAGGGAACACAGGCGGUCUUUUAAGUCUGAUGUGAAAGCCUUCGGCUUAACCAGAGUAGUGCAUUGGAAACUGGGAGACUUGAGUGCAGAAGAGGAGAGUGGAACUCGAUGUGUAGCGGUGAAAUGCUUAGAUAUAUGGAAGAACACCAGUGGCGAAGGCGGCUCUCUGGUCUGUAACUGACGCUGAGGUUCGAAAGCGUGGGUAGCAAACAGGAUUAGAUACCCUUGUAGUC